UUCCCUCCCUGCAGUUCCUGCGCCGGCUCCGGCAGAGGGCGCGAGAGAGCCGGUGCCGGGUUUCGUUUCGCUUUCCAAGAGCGUCACUUCGGGCUCAGCAGCUGGCUAAGGCUGAUGGGAGUUGUAGUCCGAGGGCCAGGUGGAGAAGGCUGGUGCAGAGAGGCAGUGAGGGACGGGUAAUUCUGUUUGAGAAGAAGCCCAUCAUUGGAAGUGCCUCUGUUGCCCAGGGAGAGAGGUAUUUGUCUGCAGUUGAGCAAGGUAACUCACAGGAGCGUAGAGAGCAGAGGAGAAAGGCCACAAAGCUGCAAGGGUGACCUUAGGCUAAUCACCAUCUCUCCUCCUACCCUACCUUCCAGGGUUACUGGAUCACAGAGGGCAAGAAAAAGGACAGUGUACGCUGUUCUGACCUUGAAAGAAGAGGUGAGCUAAAAAUGUUACAAAUUGAAAACAGGUAUACCUGGUAAAUGUACUCACUUUUAAAUAACACACCCCCUAAGAGGCAUGCCCCAUCAUCCCUUGAAAUCUGAGUUACCUUUUGGAUCUGUUCCUUAGGACAGAGAAUAUUCAGCAUGUGAUUCUGUGCUAAUGAAUGGGGUGAAAACCGUUAGAUUUCAGAUCUGUGCAAAUCUUCAUGUCUUCAUGCGUAACUUUGCAGGCGGGGAAUGCAUUGUGUAAGUGACUCAGGCAGCCUCUCAUCUUAAUACUGAUACAAAUCUGAGGUCACUACAGAGGUGCGAUGUCAUGGGAAAACUUUGGCAGAAAUUCCUAGCCUCUUUUCUUUCAUGGCUAAAAAUUAAAAACAAUAAAAAUCUGUAGAUGAUUAAAAAGGAAUAAAAAUAUGUUUUCUAUUAGAAUGUCAAAUGGUCAAAUGGAGGAGCAAUAAUAAGAGUGUCAGAUCAUGCAGAAAUAUAUUAAAUAUUGUGUGUGUAUGUGUAACUGCUGAAGGGACUAUAAAGAAACAUAGGGAAAAAAGACCUAUAAAACGUCAAUAAAAGAGAAUAAUUUUAUAUUUAGAUAAUAUAAAUCUCAUUGAGUAUGUAUGUGUGUGUACUUUAUACACACACAAACAUAACAAACCUGUCAGAAGAAUUCUGUGCCAAUUUAUAAAAAAUGAGUAAUGAAAUAUCUGCAAUAUUUGUCAAUCCAAAUUUUACAGCUCCAAAAUAAGUGUUAAAAAAGGUGUCUGGAAUGAAAUACGCCCUGCAUUAAGUUUUUAAAUACUUGCCCAGAUUUAAAGCCUCAAUAAAAUGUAUUAAAUCUUUUAAGGUUUUUAAUGAAUCUAGCACGUGUUUCAUAAAUCACAGAGCUUGGCUCAGCCCAUUUGUGUUUUAAUAACUGUAAGCUAAGAAAUUGCUCUGAGCUAAGACAAAAUGCAUUCCUAUAACGGAAGGGGAAAACAGGUUUUUUUUAACAACAACAACAACAAAAAUCCUUGCUCAUUGCUGAGACUGACUUUGGCCUCCUGUAGAUCAGAACCUGGCUGCUGAUCCAUGCUUAACAGCAUCAAGAUGUGACCUAGUGGUGCAAAGGUAAAUAUUAUUAGUAAUAACUCCAGAAAUAAAAGAAAUCUACAAGGAGACAUUAGCAGAGCCGUCGUGCCAUCUCCUGAUACAUAUCUCGGGGUACUAUCAUUUUUUAUUCACGUGCCACACAAGCGUCUCAAGGUAUAUUAAAAUCAGCAAAAAAAGGGGAAAAGGUUUAAAAUUCAAAAAACAAGAGGCAUAUUUAAACAAAACAAAGCAGAAAUAAUACAAAACAGGCACCCAGCAGAGACCUAGAGAAUAGACAAGGUUAGGACUGCACUGUUGCUUAAGUCAAUUUGUUGUGAUGGGUUUCAUUGGCCACACAUCCCUCUGCCCCAUGCUUGAUGCCCUCUACAUAGGGUAAAGGGUAAAGGCACCCAUCUUGCUUUAUUGGCCGAGGGAGCCAGCGUACAGCUUCUGGGUCAUGUGGCCAGCAUAACUAAGCCGC